GAAGGGCACCAGCAUGUUCACACAGCAGUGUGACUUCCGGGAAGAGUCCGAAGCUCGUACAGUCAACAACACUGUGUCAGAAUCUAAGCAUAUCUACUGAAGAAUAUCCUACUAUUGAUGUACCUUUAUCUUUUAUGCCAUUUUCAUUUUAGUAAGAAAAACAAGUAACAAAGGAUUAAAUUUCAAUUUCAUGUAAUAAUUGAGCCUGCAUCAAUGAGUAAAGAAUGUUUUCUUCACGAAAUUACGAAGCUACAAAAGUCGUUCCUAAGGGAGCGCAGAGUAAGUUUUCUGCUCAAAAGUCAUCCCUAAGGGGAUGCAGAGCCAAAAAUUCCACCGAAAUAGAAGGUGAAGAAGCUCAAAAGUCGUUCCUAAGGGGAUGCAGAGCUUAAAUGCCACCGAAAUAUAAGGUGAAGAAGCUCAAAAGUUGUUCCUAAGGGGAUGCAGAGCUUAAAGACUCAAAAGUCGUUCCUAAGGGGAUGCAGAGUCUUGUGUGUUUCAGUAUGGGAGUGUGUGUGUGUGUGUGUUUGACGUCAUCAUCAUACUGCAUCAUAUCAUAGCAUCAUUUCGCACAACAUUACAUCAUACAUCAUAUUGCAUUAACGGCAAAAGGAUUGGACACGAAGUAAAUUUUCGGCAAUACUUUGUUAAAUAAAAAUGUGCUGAGGCACGAAGCAAACUUCGAGAAACGCAAUUGUAUCAAACUGGCCAUAGAAGGGGCAUCUUUCUUUAUGAAGCAUGAAAAGAAGGGAAGGUGUUUUUUCGCCGAAGGCUCAAAAACGGUAUGUACGUAAGUUUCAUGCAUCGCAAAGAAAUAUAUUACAACAAUUUACAUGUCUCAUCAAUUGUUCAAAACACCAAAUGUUACAUAGUAUCAUUACAAUAAAGUUUAAUCUUCCUUAAGUAUUUUCUCUGUGGCUUCGUUCAGCAGCUUGUCAACGACUUCGUCGAUAAUGGAGUUAGCAAUGCUCAUUAUGUCUAGUGCUUCUUUCAUGACCGAGUCAGCUAGGGGGUUAUAUGGCUCGGGCAGCGGUGACAAGUCAGCUGUGUUAGGCAAGCCGUUAGUUCGAAGCCAGAAAAUAAGAGCCGAAGCUAAAAUUCAAAAACAUUACCUAUGCGCCUUUCGUGUUCAGCAGCUUCUUCGGCUUGUCUAGCUUCUUCUCGGGCUUCAUGUGUUUCCUUUUCAUUUUUCUUUAUAAUUUCAUUGGCCAAUUACCGGCCACCGUUCACCCAUACAUCAGAAUAAAAUUUUCCGCCCGCUAAAGUAGCGUCAGCCGAAGGGCCUUUCGUGUCAUCUAUGGAGAAGGCGGCCUCAGCCUGGGCAGCACUUUUAAUGUGGUCGCAACCAGCCUUCUCCAGAAUUGCCGCAAUACCUCGAGCACCAGAAAAGGCACAAAUAACCCUGCGAUCAUUCAGGACUUCUUCAAAGGCUUUGGCUUCCCCGCUUAUCCAAUCAAUGACGCCUUCGGGGUCGCCUCGAAUAAAUUUCUCUUCAGAAUAAUAAACACCUACUUUUGCAAAGCUGCUUUUCAAUUUUUUCACGCAAUCUAAGGAUUUUUCGAAGCACCUUUCCUUGGAUUCGCGAAGCUCCUCAACAUUUUUCUCUAGCCUAGUUUUUGACCAUUCACUAAUUUCUUCACUGGCUUUUGCAAGUGCAAAGUUCUCAUUAGCUUCGGCGAGCUUUUUCUGAAGGUCUUCGACCUCGGCUUUAUGAGCUUCGGCCUGAGCGUUGUAAUUUGCUUCAUCUUCCUUCACUUUACUCACCAAUGAAAUUAGAAUCUUGUCCUUCUCCAAGGUUUCGUUUCUUAGCUUAAUUACCUCUGAUCGAAGGUUGCCGAGAGCUAUAGUGCAGCUUUCGUCUUCUACAUUCUUUUGCGCCCUCAGGGCAUUGCUAAGAAUUAAGCCCUGCAAGAAAAAAGAAAGGAUUAGCAUGAGAAUGAAAGACUUCAUUUCCAAGUCCAUAAACUUUAAAGUUCACAGCUUCUGUACCUUUAUACUGUUGUAUGCGAGGCUGUCCGCAAGGUCAUCCUUCGACAUGGCGGCGAGGCCAGCUUCGAGCUUUGGAAAUCCCAUACUUUUGGCUACCCGGCAAACGGAUAUCUCUUUGUUGUCCGGGAGAUAGUACAGGAAAUCAUCUUCGUCCGUGUCGUUGAACACUAAGGCCCCCUUCGGAUAUUUCAGUUCCCGGGCAUAGUGUUUGGCUUCUAAAAUUUCUUCUUCGGAUAAUCUUUUCCCCGAAGCAUGUCGAAUAAUAUAAUCAAGAUCUUCGGAUGGAGCUUCGAGGGCAAGUGAUUUACCUUUCUCCGUCACGUCCUGCCCCGCUGCCAUGCCGGCAUUUGGAGAUUCUUGCUUAGUCUUAUCCUCAGUCGUGGCAGGCUUCGUCUCAAUGGGCACUGAAGGCCCAGCUUCGGCAACUUUCUUCGCAGGGGCAGGAGUCAAUGCCUUUGUGGUUUCCAUAACAGCGUCUAGCACGCUGGCCAUUCUCCUCCUCUUGGGAGUUGUGGCAGGAGCCUUUGUCACCUUUGGCAGUUCUGCCUCUACCGGUGGACUCAGAAGUUCUGUCAACAUUACUGUUUUUUCCAACUCUGGCUCUUUGCCCGCACCAUCUUUGGUUUCGGCUGACCCGACUAUAGGCACCUUCGGCACUACAGUCGAUCCUUCAGCGCUACGAACGGCGGGGGAAGCUUGUUCCGCUUCGGCAGCAGAAGAGGUGCCUUCACCAAAUUCAGGCACUACAGCCGUUUCAAUAUAUCGUGGUCGGUGGGUCAAAACCUUUAUUUUCUUGCCGUUCGGCACAACAGUGAUGGUCGAAGCGGCAGUUUUCCUCUUUUUUCCUUGCCUUCGUGAGGGGUAGCAGUAAUCAGGGUAUAUGAAACCAAUUGCAUCAAAAACCCUGUUCAAUCUUUUCUUGCCCCGACCCCCGAAGGCUGAGGAUAAAGCGUCAUCUUCGGCUCUGGUAUAUGCCCCAAGUAACUCGUCGCUAGUAGCCUCAAUACAUUUUAGCCAGUCAUCAUUUGGUUCAUCAAACCGGUCUCUGUAUCUGAAGGUAUAUUUCAAACGAAUUAAUCCACCUUCGCUGGACCCGGCAGUGGUCUCCUUCGGCAUCUCCCAGUUAUCCACAAGUGGCCAUACUCUGUAGGCUAGGUGCUCUUGGAUCAAGUCUCUUGUGCCAAUGAAAGCACAGACAUUGCUGAAAACCUUUUGGCAUGAUUCGGCAUCAUUUUCAAUCCCCACGGUCGGCCUUCGAAGGCCGAAGCGAGACCAUAUGGGGCGUUGGAUAAUCCCCUUUAUGUCUUCCCUUUUAACCAGAUCAUUUUUGACAUAAAACCACUCCUCCAUCCAGCCCCUGGGCCACCUUUUCCGAAAUGUUGGAACCAGAUAGCUUGCAUUAGAACGAGCAAUGAAUCCAUAACAACCGAAGUUGUUGUGAUACUGCUCUUUGCCAGUAGCCUUUGUCUCGUACAACAGUUCGUGCAUACUGCAAAAACACUUCGCGCUUGGUUCCAGCCCUUGGCUUCUCAUAGCCCAAACAAACAAACCCAUUCUGAUUAUAGCUUCGGGAGUAAGUUGAUGAAGAAAGAUCUGAAGGCUCGCCUUAAUGGGAACCGAAGGCUCGCCUUCAAAAAGCUUUUGUAGACAACAACCUCAUUUUCUUCAGGAGCAGGGGCGGUGCUGUCUCCUCCAACCCUCACAAUAGACAUGUCACGAAAGUAUCUUCCCUUCAUGGCAUCAAUAUGACUUUGCUUAAUGGUCAACUUUCCGAAGAUGGUAUGGCUUGGUCGCCAGGGCCGGUCCUCAGAAUCUUCAUCUCCACUUUCCACAUCAUAGUCAUCGCUAUCGUCGGAAUCUUCAGACAAAUCCGCCAUUAUUUCCUUUGUGAUCUUCUCUAUAUUUGUUUUUGCCAUAGAUUCGUAAAACCCAGCAAGAAAAGGGUCCGCAACUUUCUUCUCCUCCUCGGAUAUCUUCUUCUCCUCAGACAUCUUCUUCUCUUCAGACAUGGAACAAGCACUUGUCUUUAUCACGAAGCUCGAAAAUCAAGCGAGACCUAAUACACAAGAGUUGAAAAUUUGAGAAAAUAACGCAAGAAACAGAAAUGGUGUAGCAAAUGCUGCCGCUGUGGGUUUCUAUUUAUAUGCCUAGUGCAUUGUAACUUGGCAGGACCCAUUUGUCAUUGAUUUUCGCUAUUCUAGCGAAGGGAAGGUGUUUUUUUGGACCAUCGGCUAAAGGCCUUCGUUCACGUCGCAGUCUGAAUGUGUUAGAUACAAGAACAAAUUAAUACUGCGAGGGGCUACUGUUGGGGGCCUUCGUCUUCCGAAGGUCCUCAAAAACACGACUAACAUAUUUUCCAAGUGUAAUAUACUGUUACAGGAACCUUAGGCUUUGAGAUGAAGGUGCACAUGGUAUGAAAGGAGCGCUCUGGAAGAAGGAUGAGUCGGUUCCGAAGCUAUGGAUGAUGAAGCUUCGGCUUAGCGCAAAGACAGUGAUGGAGAAUGAAACCGACCUAAAGGGGAAAAGACUGCUUAGUCCUUGACAGAUUAUUCCUUAGUCAAUAGAAAAUGUCAAGGACUUGGAUGUAAUUUUACCCAGGCUGUGUCAUGUGCCUAUAAAUAGAUGAACAGUAACACUGUACUGUUCACCUUGACUGGGAUUCACUCGCACGUCACUCUUGAAUUCUUACCUUCUGUCAAGCCGAAGGUAUAAAUGUAACUCAAUAUCGUUAAUGUUUGUUCAUGAUCAUAUAAUGAGAAGAUAGAUGAUCUAAUGAUUUGAUAUGAGUAUUUAUAUUAUCUGUAUGUAACAUAUGUACCUGAUUUUCAUUACAUAUUGAGAUGAUGAAGGUAUGUCCUUCAUUACCUUCGUCUGAAGAUCAUUAUAUCCUAAGGGAGAUAAUGCUUCGAAGGACGAAGGUCGUUAAUCAUUAACAUUUGUGUUGCCUUGUUCUUAACUCGUAGCAUUUGUGAACAAGUGAACAUCGUUUUCUAUAUUGUUUUUAUUAUUUUCUUGGUUCACUGGACUGUGCGCCAAAUAUUGGAAAGCGCAGGGAUCUCUGCGCAAGAAUUCCCAAGACACAGAACUACAUCCAUACGGACGGCGGGUUGAUUAGCUAAUUCUUGGAGGGCUCUUUAGCAAAAUGGUCGCUGCAAAGGGGUAUGGAUAGACUUCGGCCGUUGAAUCCACCGUGUGUGGUCUGGAUUAGAUCCGCAUAACCCUGAGCCAGUACGCAAUUGUGCCCGUUGGAUUUGCAACUGACGACCCAAGAUUCGCCAUGCCAAGCACCUACCCAUGGCCAUCGUAUGGAUAAUAUAUGGCUCAGAUUUAAUUCUCGUGAAUGGUUACGCUCUCAUCUAAUCGCAUCCGUCCGAGCUAGAUCGGACGACACUCACGCCUUCUCCUACCUCCCCACUACCAGACCUGGCCCCGCCUAGGCUUACACCGACGAGCUCGCCGGAGCAGGCCCCAUAUCGCAUCGGCAACACCCCCGAUCACUACUAAAUGAAAGAGAACGCGAGGGAGAUGAGGAAUUAGGUGGAUGGAUACUCACCAACAACGACGCAACACCGAAGCCUGGCCCCGGCCGUACGCGGUACUACGGUGGCGGCAAGAUUCCGGGGAGAAAUUCCCUGUACCCACGGCAGCAAUCUGCACGGUGAGGGCACCGCCACCCACAACAUCCACCAGUGAACGCCAUGAGCAGCAAAUCGGGGUUUGACGAUGGCGUGACCGAUUCUGGCUCCCGGCGGUCAUCAGCUCACAUCGCCGACUCCCCCACACCAUUUGGCCAGGGCACCACGACAUCCCACGGCGGCCGCACUCCCGGCGGUCAUCAGCUCACAUCGCCGACUCCCCCACACCAUUUGGCCAGGGCACCACGACAUCCCACGGCGGCCGCACCAACCCGCGCACCCAUCCGAGCGCCAUGCGAUUUGCCAGAGGAAUCUAUCGAGCAUGGGCGAAGGCCUGCGCACGAUUUCGGUCGACGGACCCCGCACCUCGACGACGUGCGCAGAAGACGAGGGCACCGGUCUUCCUUCCGCCCAGCAGGUUCCCCGGCUCCCGAGAUCUCUGUGUUUGCCCCGAACGGCCACAUCGGCGAGCAGACCUAGUGGCGGCUAUGACUUUUCUCUCUCAUGGCUGUGUUCGGCUAUGGCGCUCGCUGCUGGUGAUGGUCAAGACGAUGCGAGGAGUGGGGAGGUCGCGGCUAGG
rnacentral:lncRNA from 1 species